rnacentral:rRNA from 1 species
AAUAUUGGUCAAUGGAGGCAACUCUGAACCAGCCACGUCGCGUGAAGGAUGACGGCCCUACGGGUUGUAAACUUCUUUUAUACAGGAAAAAAGGGAGGCACGUGUGACUUUUUGCAUGUACUGUAUGAAUACGGCUCGGCUAACUCCGUGCCAGCACCCGCGGUAAUACGGUCGAUCCAAGCGUUACCCGGAUUUAUUGGGUUUAAAGGGUGCGCAGGCGGAAGAUUAAGUCGGCGGUGAAAUUUUGCAGCUCAACUGUAAAAGUGCCAUCGAUACUGGUUUUCUUGAGUGUGGAUGAAGUAGGCGGAAUUUGUGGUGUAGCGGUGAAAUGCAUAGAUAUCACGAGGAACUCCGAUUGCGCAGGCAGCUUACUAGGCCAUAACUGACGCUCAGGCACGAAGGCGUGGGGAUCAAACAGG